rnacentral:rRNA from 1 species
GACGAACGCUGGCGGCGUGCCUAAUACAUGCAAGUCGAACGCUGAAGGAGGAGCUUGCUCUUCUGGAUGAGUUGCGAACGGGUGAGUAACGCGUAGGUAACCUGCCUGGUAGCGGGGGAUAACUAUUGGAAACGAUAGCUAAUACCGCAUAACAGUAGAUGUUGCAUGACAUUUACUUAAAAGGUGCAAUUGCAUCACUACCAGAUGGACCUGCGUUGUAUUAGCUAGUUGGUGGGGUAACGGCUCACCAAGGCGACGAUACAUAGCCGACCUGAGAGGGUGAUCGGCCACACUGGGACUGAGACACGGCCCAGACUCCUACGGGAGGUAGCAGUAGGGAAUCUUCGGCAAUGGACGGAAGUCUGACCGAGCAACGCCGCGUGAGUGAAGAAGGGUUUCGGAUCGUAAAGCUCUGUUGUAAGAGAAGAACGAGUGUGAGAGUGGAAAGUUCACACUGUGACGGUAUCUUACCAGAAAGGGACGGCUAACUACGUG